UACGUAGGGUGCGAGCGUUAAUCGGAAUUACUGGGCGUAAAGUGUGCGCAGGCGGCCGAGCAAGUCGAGUGUGAAAGCCCCGAGCUUAACUUGGGAACUGCGCUCGAAACUACUUGGCUAGAGUGUGGCAGAGGGAGGUGGAAUUCCACGUGUAGCGGUGAAAUGCGUAGAGAUGUGGAGGAACACCAGUGGCGAAGGCGACUCUUUGGCCUGUAACUGACGCUGAGGCGCGAAAGCGUGGGGAGCAAACAGG
rnacentral:rRNA from 1 species